rnacentral:misc_RNA from 1 species
CGCACAUUGCGCCUGCUAGUAUUCUGGCAGGCAUGCCUGUUCGAGCGUCAUUUCAACCCUCAAGCUAUGCUUGGUGUUGGGGCCCUACGGUAACCCCCGUAGGCCCUGAAAACUAGUGGCGUGCCUGCUGUAACUCCGGGCGUAGUAAUUACUUUUCGCCUGAGAUGUUGCGGCUCGUUCUGCCGUUAAACCCCUCAAUUAUACAAGGUUGACCUCGGAUCAGGUAGGAAUACCCGCUGAACUUAA